UUCCCGGGCCUUGUACACACCGCCCGUCACACCACGAAAGUUGGCAAUACCCGAAGCCGGUGGCCUAACCGCAAGGGAGGGAGCCGCCUAAGGUAGGGUUGAUGAUUGGGGUG
rnacentral:rRNA from 1 species